ensembl:lncRNA
UUUAAUCCGUCAGAUUACACGUAAUAAACAUUUUUAUUUCUCACUUUAAUCCGUCAGAUUACACGUAAUAAACAUUUUUAUUUCUCACUUUAAUCCCUCAGAUUACACGUAAUAAACAUUUUUAUUUCUCACUUUAAUCCCUCAGAUUACACGUAAUAAACAUUUUUAUUUCUCACUUUAAUCCCUCAGAUUACACCGUAAUUAUAUGUUGAUGCCAUGACAAUCACAUUUCAAUACUUUAAUCAUAAUAUUAACAAUAUACACUAUAUAUACACAAGAGUAUGUGGAUUCGGCUAUUUCAGCCACACCUGUUGCUGACAGGUGUAUAAAAUCGAGCACACAGACAUGCAAUCUCCAUAGACAAACAUUGGCUGUAGAAUGGCCUUACUGAAGAGCUCAGUGACUUUCAACGUGGCACCAACAAGUCAGUUUGUCACAUUUCUGCCCUGCCAGAGCUGCCCCCCGGUCAACUGUAAGUGCUGUUAUUGUGAAAUGGAAACGUCUAGGAGCAACAACGGCUCAGCAGCGAAGUGGUAGCCCACAAAAGCUCACAGAACGGGAUAGCCGAGUGCUGAAGUGGGUAGCAUAUACAAAUCAUCUGUCCUCGGUUGCAACACUCACUACCGAGUUCCAAACUGCCUUUGGAAGCAAACUCAGCACAAGAACGGUUCAUCAGGAGCUUCAUGAAAUGGGUUUCCAUGGCAGAGCAGCCGCACACAAGCCUAAGAUCACCAUGCGCAAUGACAAGUAUCAUCUGGAGUGGUGUAAAGCUCACCACCAUUGGACUCUGGAGCAGUGGAAACACGUUCUCUGGAGUGAUGAAUCACACUUCACCAUCUGGCAGUCUGACGGACGAAUCUGGGUUUGGCGGAUGCCAGGAGAACGCUAUCUGUCCCAAUGCAUAGUGUAAACUAAAGUUUGGUGGAGGAGGAAUAAUGGUCUGGGGCUGUUUUUCAUGGUUCAGGCCCCUUAGUUCCACUGAAGGGAAAUAUUAACACUACAGCAUACAAGGACAUUCUAGACGAUUCUGUGCUUCCAACUUUGUGGCAACAGUUUGGAGAAUGCCCUUUCCUGUUUCGGCAUGACAAUUCCCCCGUGCACAAAGCGAGAUCCGUGUGGAAAAACUUGACUGGCCAGAGCCCUGACCUCAACCUCAUCAAAUACCUUUGGGAUGAAUUAGAACGUCGACUGUUAGCCAGGCCUAACCACCAAACAUCAGUACCAGACCUCAUUAAUGCUCUUGUGGCUGAAUGGAAGCAAGUCCCCGCAGCAAUGUUCCAACAUCUAGUGGAAAGCCUUCCCAGAAGAGUGGAGGCUGUUAUGGCAGCAAUGUUCCAACAUCUAGUGGAAAGCCUUCCCAGAAGAGUGGAGGCUGUUAUAGCAGCAAUGUUCCAACAUCUAGUGGAAAGCCUUCCCAGAAGAGUGGUGGCUGUUAUAGCAGCAAUGUUCCUACAUCUAGUGGAAAGCCUUCCCAGAAGAGUGGAGGCUGUAAUAGCAGCAAUGUUCCAACAUCUAGUGGAAAGCCUUCCCAGAAGAGUGGAGGCUGUUAUAGCAGUAAAAGGGGGACCAACUCCAUAUUAAUGCCCAUGAUUUUUGAAAGAAAUGUUCAAUAGCAGGUGUCCACAUACUUUUGAUCAUGUAGUGUAUCUACAUUGCUGACUGGCCCAUGUUAAAAUUCACAAUAGAUAUUCAUUCACUUUUGAUUGAAGUUCUGUUUGUUAGCAAACAGAGACUCAAAUCAGCCUGUCUGGUCAUGUGAUGAGGUGCUGUGCUACAUCAUCAUAUACAGUACCAGUCAAAAGUUUGGACACACCUACUCAUUUCAGGGGUUUUCUUUAUUUGUACUAUUUUCUACAUUGUAGAAUAAUUGUGAAGACAUCAAAAACUAUGAAAUAACUCAUGUAGUAACCAGAAAAAGUAGCCACCCUUUGCCUUGAUGACAGCUUUGCACACUCUUUGCAUUCUCUCGACCAGCUUCACCUGGAAUGCUGUUCCAACAGUCUUGAAAGUGUUCCCACAUAUGCUGAGCACUUGUUGGCUGCUUUUCCUUCACUCUGCAGUCCAACUCAUCCCAAACCAUCUCAAUUGGGUUGAGAUCAUCUGAUGCAUCACUCUCCUUCUUGGUCAAAUAGCCCUUACACAGCCUGGAGGUGGGGAAUAUGGUGCCAAUUAGGACACGUCUUUUCACUCUCUGGUUUAUUGUUGCGCUCUGGCCCCCUAUCCCAAAUUGUGCCCUAGCACCGUUCCCCUACUCUCCUACCCCUAGGCACUCACUUAUCUUCCCUUCCUUCCCUGAUGCACUUUACCCUCCUACCUUAUCUGAAUAUCUGGCCUCUACAAAACGAGAGCCAAUGACUAUCCCCAAUGACACCCUAUGUAGUGAAUAGUUCCAUUUGAAACAUACCCCAAUGACUCUCCCCCUUUCUUUGGUUGAAGAAACAACGUCAUCAAUUUGGUUAUUAUAAUAAUGCAGGUAUGAUUAUUGAUCACAGGAAAUGUGAGGAGUAUGAUAAUGAUUUCCUGUCUUAAAGCGGCCAUAUAUGAGGACGGGCUCGUUGUAAUGGAAUGAAUGGAACCGUAUCGAAACCAUGGAAACCACAUGUUUGACUCUGUUCCAAUGAAUUCCAUUCAAAUCAAAUGUUAUUAGUCGCGUGUGCCGAAUACAACAGGUGUAAACAUUACAGUGAAAUGCCUGACUGACGAGCCCUUAACCAACAAUGCAGUUUAAAAUAAAAUAAAAGCCAUUACAAUGUGCCUAUCCUCCUAUAGCUCCUCCAACCAGCCUCCUCUGUUGUGUGUGACACAAUUACUAAACAAACAAAUAGUAGCUAGUAAUAUUAUAUUUUAUUUACAGAUGUGAACAUUAAAUUCCUGACAUGACUGCUAUGUAGUUUGGGUGUCACAUUUUCCCAGAAUGCCCAGUUUUUUUUGUUGUUUUUUUUUUCUCUAGAAAUACUGGUUGGAGAGGAUUCAGGAUUUCCUGAUUGUUAUUAAAAAAAAAUAUUGCAACCCUAAAAUGUACUAAAAAAGGCAUGUUUCACAUUUGUAUAAAAGACAUCUCGGUAGCUUAACAAUGCUGAGGGGGAAGAAUCUAACCUAGAGUGGAAAGGUUCAAAACCAAGCUGAAUCCACAUGGAGGAUAAUUUGUACAAUUCCUGUAACUCCCCAAAUUCCUCCGAAAUCCUGGAUGUUUUGCUUUAAUUCCAGCAAUCUUCCAACUAGGAUUUCGGAAAACAGGCAUUUUGUGAAAAGUUACAGGAAUUUUGGAACCCCAUUUAUAAUAUGAUACAAAACAAACUGAAUCAGCUGGUUUAUAAUAUACCCUGGCUAAACCUGGUUACACCGUGGCGGAACAAUAAUGUAUUUGAUCUUGCAGUUACUACCAAAAGAGAGUCCUAUCUGAAUACCUCUAUGGUUAUUAUUCAAGUGGGUUAACUAGUUUGAGAUUACGUAACGUCAUGAAAUGAUAAGGCUACAUAUGUACUCAGAUUGAAA